rnacentral:misc_RNA from 1 species
AAGUCGUAACAAGGUUUCCGUAGGUGAACCUGCGGAAGGAUCAUUAAAGAGAAAGGGGCUUCGGUCCCGACCUCCAACCCUUUGUUUACCUUACCACUGUUGCCUCGGCGGGUCGCUGACUUCGUCAGCUCCCGCCAUCAGGCCCCCAAUUAAACUCUUUUGUAAACCUAGUCUUCUGAGAGUAAAUUUAAAUACUUCAAAACUUUCAACAACGGAUCUCUUGGUUCUG